CUACUUAUAUCCUAAUAUUGUUUUUUGGUUCUAUUGUAUUUGAAUCAGCUGUCUGAAAAACAAGUUGAGCUUGGAUAUUCUAUGCUUUUUUAAAAUUUAGCCUUUGCAUAUGUUGCUAAUGAGACUAUUACUAACUACUAUGAAUAUCUUGCUUUGAAGGAUCACUAACCAAAGCACUGUAGUUGAGAACAAACUAUAUUGUUCGAGUGGCGACUAACAAUUUAGAUCAGUAAUGCAAUGAGCCACAUAUUCUACUUUUGUUUGAGUGUAAUAUUCUACAUCUUGAAGUUCGUUGACCAUGUGACUUUAUUUUCUUAAUUUCCUGCUUUAACUGAAAUGUUCAUGUACAAAGUACAAUAAAAACAGUGGCUUUAGAACAAUACAAAUGCAUAGCUAAAGCAUAGAAAGAACAAUUGACAUGUAGACAUGCAAAAGCAAUGGCUUUUUGCAUGUAUAUGUAGACCUGCAACAUUCAGUGCAACUACAUAAGAGAACCAUAGUUGUAAUACAAAUAAGAUGGACCAAAACAAUCAAUCCCUUGUAUUUGAAAAUCUGAAACUGAUCUCUCUAAUUCAAUAACCUCUUGGUAUUUCUCUAUUAUCAUCACAACGAAACAAAAAACACUUCUCAAGAUGAAAGAAGAAGUUGCUAGAGUUCUGAUCCGUAUGAAGGAUAGGUUUGCAACGUUAUUUAGUCAGGAUUCUGAUUCAAUGCCGCGGGUUUGGACUGGGAAGGAAGACAUUCGAGCAAUCACCAAGAUGGCUCACUCAUCAUCUUUGAAGUUGCUUUCUGUUAUGGCUGCAAUCCGUUUGGAUGACGAGGCUGAUAACAUUGAAAAGACCCUAGCCGUGGCGUUAGUGGAUAAUAAAAGUGGUGUUGCUACCAAUAAGAGCAUCACAUCAGAUGAUCCCCUGGCCUCAAGCACUUGGGAAGAGUUUCACCAUCAAAGACAUUGAACACACCUGUCCAGUGCAAAUCUUUAUGGAGGCAAUUCAAAUCGGAGAUGGAGUCACACUGUCGCUCAAGCCAUUGCUGCUCAGGCAUGAUUUCCUAGCUAGCAAGCGGAAUAACAACUGGUUGCCGCCUCCGUGGGCAAUUCUUGCCUUGGUGGUCCUAGGAUUCAAUGAAUUUGUGACACUUUUGAGAAAUCCUUUGUAUCUUGGUGCAAUAUUUGUUGCUUUUCUACUUGUAAAAGCCCUAUGGGUCAGCUUGACAUCUCUGGUGAAUUCCGAAAUGGCGCAGUGAGUUUCAAGCUCUCGUUUUAUUUUAUGAUGAUUUUUUAUCGACGGUUGUAAAAGCAACUAAUCGAAAUAAGCAAGCGAUAAAAACUCGUAU